rnacentral:rRNA from 1 species
UGAGGAAUCUUGCGCAAUGGGGGAAACCCUGACGCAGCAACGCCGCGUGAGUGAGGAAGGUCUUCGGAUCGUAAAGCUCUGUCAGUUGGAAAGAAAUGUCUGAGAGUCAAUCCCUUUCAGGCUUGACGGUACCAACAGAGGAAGCACCGGCUAACUCCGUGCCAGCAGCCGCGGUAAUACGGGGGGUGCAAGCGUUGUUCGGAAUUAUUGGGCGUAAAGAGCGUGUAGGCGGCCGGAUAUGUCAGAUGUGAAAGCCCCGGGCUUAACCCGGGAAGUGCAUUUGAAACUGUCCGGCUCGAGUAAGGGAGAGGGAAGUGGAAUUCCUGGUGUAGAGGUGAAAUUCGUAGAUAUCAGGAGGAACACCGGUGGCGAAGACGACUUCCUGGCCCUAUACUGACGCUGAGACGCGAGAGCGUGGGUAGCAAACAG